UGGGGAAUAUUGGACAAUGGGCGCAAGCCUGAUCCAGCCAUGCCGCGUGAGUGAUGAAGGCCCUAGGGUUGUAAAGCUCUUUCACCGGUGAAGAUAAUGACGGUAACCGGAGAAGAAGCCCCGGCUAACUUCGUGCCAGCAGCCGCGGUAAUACGAAGGGGGCUAGCGUUGUUCGGAUUUACUGGGAGUAAAGCGCACGUAGGCGGACUUUUAAGUCAGGGGUGAAAUCCCGGGGCUCAACCCCGGAACUGCCUUUGAUACUGGAAGUCUUGAGUAUGGUAGAGGUGAGUGGAAUUCCGGGUGUAGAGGUGAAAGUCGUAGAUAUUCGGAGGAACACCAGUGGCGAAGGCGGCUCACUGGACCAAUACUGACGCUGAGGUGCGAAAGCGUGGGGAGCAAACAGG
rnacentral:rRNA from 1 species